rnacentral:rRNA from 1 species
GACGAACGCUGGCGGCGUGCUUAACACAUGCAAGUCGAACGGUGAAGCGCUUUCCUUUUUGGUUGGUGUGGAUGAGUGGCGAACGGGUGAGUAACACGUGAGUAACCUGCCCCCUUCUUCUGGAUAACCGCAUGAAAGUGUGGCUAAUACGGGAUAUUCUGCGCCUGCUGCAUGGUGGGUGUGGGAAAGAUUGUGCCUUUGGGUGUUCUCGGUGGGGGAUGGGGUCGCGGCCUAUCAGCUUGUUGGUGAGGUGAUGGCCUACCAAGGCGGUGACGGGUAGCCGGCCUGAGAGGGUGGACGGUCACACGGGGACUGAGCAACGGACCAGACUCCUACGGGAGGCAGCAGUGGGGAAGAUUGCACAAUGGGCGAAAGCCUGAUGCAGCGACGCCGCGUGAGGGAUGGAGGCCUUCGGGUUGUGAACCUCUUUCGCCAGUGAAGCAGGCCUGCUCCUUGUGGGUGGGUUGACGGUAGCUGGAUAAGAAGCGCCGGCUAACUACGUG